GUGCUCCCUUCAGCAGCACAUAUACUAAAAUUGGAACAAUAUAGAAAUUAACAAGCCCCCUGUACAAAGAUGAAAUUUGAGUUCAUGAAGAGUUCCAUAUUUUU
rfam:Myotis davidii contig113479, whole genome shotgun sequence.